GAUCCUGGCUCAGAUUGAACGCUGGCGGCAUGCCUUACACAUGCAAGUCGAACGGCAGCACGGGAGCAAUCCUGGUGGCGAGUGGCGAACGGGUGAGUAAUAUAUCGGAACGUGCCCAGUCGUGGGGGAUAACGUAGCGAAAGCUACGCUAAUACCGCAUACGAUCUAUGGAUGAAAGCGGGGGAUCGCAAGACCUCGCGCGAUUGGAGCGGCCGAUAUCAGAUUAGGUAGUUGGUGAGGUAAAGGCUCACCAAGCCGACGAUCUGUAGCUGGUCUGAGAGGACGACCAGCCACACUGGGACUGAGACACGGCCCAGACUCCUACGGGAGGCAGCAGUGGGGAAUAUUGGACAAUGGGCGAAAGCCUGAUCCAGCAAUGCCGCGUGAGUGAUGAAGGCCUUAGGGUUGUAAAGCUCUUUACCCGGGAUGAUAAUGACAGUACCGGGAGAAUAAGCUCCGGCUAACUCCGUG
rnacentral:rRNA from 1 species